rnacentral:rRNA from 1 species
UUGUAGAGUGUAGGCGGGAGUGUCUGUGGAGCGCGGUGUCCAAGUCCCUUGGAACAGGGUGCCUGAGAGGGUGAGAGCCCCGUGGGGCGGCGCGCGAAGCUUUGAGACCCUGCUGACGAGUCGAGUUGUUUGGGAAUGCAGCUCUAAGCGGGUGGUAAAUUCCAUCUAAGGCUAAAUACUGGCGAGAGACCGAUAGCGAACAAGUACUGUGAAGGAAAGAUGAAAAGCACUUUGAAAAGAGAGUGAAACAGCACGUGAAAUUGUUGAAAGGGAAGGGUAUUGGGCCCGACAUGGGGAGUGCGCACCGCUGUCUCUUGUAGGCGGCGCUCUGGGCGCUCUCUGGGCCAGCAUCGGUUCUUGCUGCGAGAGAAGUGGCGCCGGAAAGUGGCUCUUCUUCCUUAGGUGAACCUGCGGGAAUACUGCCAGCUGGGACUGAGGACUGCGACGU